UCCCCCCCUUGCCAUCCAUAGAUGCAUCCUUAGUCAUGAAGCAAAUGUUUGUUCAUCAUGGGUAAUAAAUUUGACUUCUAGAAUCUGUCCAUUCAUCCCUUCAAUUUGGAUGGUGCUUUUAAGGCUCCUUUGUUUCCCAUGAAAAAGGCUCCUAGGUGAGCUCAAACGGCAGCUUAAAUGCAGGUUUUAAUUUACUGCUCAUGCAUUCUCUUAAUUGAGAUGGCACAUUAAUGGCUCUAUUGAAGGGACCGAAAUAGCACAUGGAGAAGAGGGAUUUUAAUGCCGUCCCAUGCAUAGUGAGAAGAAUGCAGCAACCAAUUUAAUGUCGUCCAAGCAUGCAUCAAAAUUCAAGAGCCAUUGAUCUUCACGAAAAGGCUCAUAGGAAAUAGGAAUCAGCAGCCCUUAAUGAGUCCUUUGCUAUGCACGAAAAUGGAUGUAUAGAAACACAAUGCAUGCUUCCUUUAAUGCCGUUCAUGCAUGCUUCUAAAGGAGAAGUCAACAGCUCUUUAAAUGCUUCCCUUUGCUAUUAAGUCUAUUGUAGACACAUUAAAU
rnacentral:lncRNA from 1 species